UACGAAGGGGGCUAGCGUUGCUCGGAAUCACUGGGCGUAAAGCGCACGUAGGCGGAUUGUUAAGUCAGGGGUGAAAUCCUGGAGCUCAACUCCAGAACUGCCUUUGAUACUGGCGAUCUUGAGUCCGGGAGAGGUGAGUGGAACUGCGAGUGUAGAGGUGAAAUUCGUAGAUAUUCGCAAGAACGCCAGUGGCGAAGGCGGCUCACUGGCCCGGUACUGACGCUGAGGUGCGAAAGCGUGGGGAGCAACAG
rnacentral:rRNA from 1 species